UGCGCAGGCGGUUAUGUAAGACAGGUGUGAAAUCCCCGGGCUUAACCUGGGAACUGCAUUUGUGACUGCAUAGCUAGAGUACGGUAGAGGGGGAUGGAAUUCCGCGUGUAGCAGUGAAAUGCGUAGAUAUGCGGAGGAACACCGAUGGCGAAGGCAAUCCCCUGGACCUGUACUGACGCUCAUGCACGAAAGGCUGGGAGCAAACA
rnacentral:rRNA from 1 species